ACCUGCGGAGGGAUCAUUACCGAGUUUACAACUCCCAAACCCCUGUGAACAUACCUAUACGUUGCCUCGGCGGAUCAGCCCGCGCCCCGUAAAAAGGGACGGCCCGCCCGAGGACCCCUAAACUCUGUUUUUAGUGGAACUUCUGAGUAAAACAAACAAAUAAAUCAAAACUUUCAACAACGGAUCUCUUGGUUCUGGCAUCGAUGAAGAACGCAGCAAAAUGCGAUAAGUAAUGUGAAUUGCAGAAUUCAGUGAAUCAUCGAAUCUUUGAACGCACAUUGCGCCCGCCAGUAUUCUGGCGGGCAUGCCUGUUCGAGCGUCAUUUCAACCCUCAAGCUCAGCUUGGUGUUGGGACUCGCGGUAACCCGCGUUCCCCAAAUCGAUUGGCGGUCACGUCGAGCUUCCAUAGCGUAGUAAUCAUACACCUCGUUACUGGUAAUCGUCGCGGCCACGCCGUAAAACCCCAACUUCUGAAUGUUGACCUCGGAUCAGGUAGGAAUACCC
rnacentral:rRNA from 1 species